AGUCUAAUUGGUGCCGGGGCAGGGACAGAACUCACUCAAUUCCACUGCUUUCCCCAGUUUCUGGUGUUGCUAAAAGCCUCCAGUGAAUGAAUGAACACUUGUGUGCCUGCCCUCAAGGAGCCUGCACUACACUUGGAGAUAUAUACAGAAACCUGUUGAGGGCUAACUUAGGUAAAUUGGGAACAUAAAUGUAAAGAGAUUUGGAAAGCAAACCAUUGGCCUGUACAUGGGCAGGCUUUGGGGGCAGAAAGACCUUGAGCAGUGCCUUGAAGAAUGAUUUGCAUAUGAGGAGAGCAGGGAGGAUAUUUCUGUGGCGGAAAUGGGGUGAGCCCAGGACACCUGUUGGCCAUGAGGGUGUGUUCUACAUGUAGAGAAGAAAGAGAUGAACUGGGUGGAGCGGGUCCAGAUUGCAGAAGGCUAUAGAAGCCAAGCUGGCAGAUAGAAGAAUCGCUAUUAGUGUGGGAGGACAGAGUAAAUUAUAGCAGGUUCUGGACUAGAAAUACAACCAUCUGCCCCAGACAGAGAGGAACACCCUACUUCAGCUAAAUACCAGGAGCUAUUGUAGGAGCCUCUAGGUUCAACAGG
rnacentral:lncRNA from 1 species